ACAUUCUCCAUGGUCCGUGCUUAAAUGAAAAGUUAAGAAACGCUUUACCUCAGUUCGAAUAUAGAGAAGAAAAUUGAGAACAUUAAGACAAUUCAAAGUAAAGAUUCAUUCUUUGAAUAUUUAUCAUUAUUUGAAUAUUUCUUUCAUCUUCAGUUAAAAGAUGAAAAGAUAACAAAGGGAGACUGCGGAGAGAAAAAAGAUCGAUGAAGUUCUUAAUGGAGGCAGAUUAGCAGAUUGAAAGAUUUUUGCCUCGAGAUAUAUUCUCUCGCGAGGAAUAAUUCCUUGGCGCUUUUUUAUCGAGUUCUCGAUGGUCUAAUUCGUUGUCGAAUGAUUCAAGUAGCAGUUUUCUUUCAAAUUCUUCUGGACGAGGUUUAAGGAUUAGAAUGGACUUUUUAGAGAAAUUGGAUUUGAGUCGAUUGCGACUCUUGUUCAAAUCGCAUGAAUGAUUUGAUAAUUAGACUUAAAGAUUUAAAAGAUACGAAGGGGAAGAGUUUCUUCAGAAAUUUAAGGAUUGUUUGAUGGAGAAUUUUAGAAUUAUCAUCGCUAUUGUAACUCUUGCAAUCCUUUGAUGUUAAGUAAUUUUUAAAAAUUCUUAUAAUAACAAAACAAAAAUUUCAUCGUAAAUAUAUCUUCUUCUUCUUUUUUUUUUAAAGAAUUGGAAUUCACGAUGAUCUUUUUCCCAUGAUUUCGCAACGAAGAAAGAGCGAGAGAUUUCUUUUGAAACGAGGGAAAGAAAGGAUGUCACUGAAAAUGUAGAACAACCAGGUUGACGGGUUGCGUGCGAGCAAUCUGCGUGUUGGCUCGAUCUAGGUCACAGAAAUCGCUGGAAACGUAAUUUCAGGAUACGCGUUCGACGCCCUUUUCUUCGCCGCCUUCCGUGACCCGCUUUUCCUGCUUAAUCGCUCUUUAGACAACCUUGGGAAUGCUUCGAAUACAUCUCUCCGUUACAUCACUUUUAAAAAAAUUGUCUUUUCUUCAUUCGAUAGAUCGAUUUUCAUUCGAAAUUAUACAAAUAUGAAUCGUAAGGUUAAAAUUUUAAUAUUUCACGCUAAAUACUGAUUUAUUCUUCUCAUGAAUAAUAUUAUCAAAAAUUUCUAAUCGAUAAAUCGUUUUUUCUUUUCUCCAUUUAUUGUCGCUUUUGUUUCUUGCGAAACGAAAUUAUAGGAAUGGAUUUUAAAAUUAAAAGUUAUAUUCUUGACUAAACGGUGAUUUGUUUUCCUUGAUGGAUAGUAUUAAAAGAAUCGUAAAAAUUUUAAUCGAUAAAUUGUUUUCUCGUUUCUUGCACAAAAUUAUUCAAAUGGAUUUAAAAUUUUUUUUUUCCUAUUUUAUUUUACGAAUAAAUUGCACAAACCGUUUUCUUUCCCCUCCGAUCGUUACACGCACAAAAUUAUUCAAACGAAUUUUUAAUUUAAAAAGUUUCUUCUGACUUGAAAAUCGAUUUAUUCUUUGCAUAUUAAAGAGGAUUAUAAACAUUUUUCAUGACGUAAAUUUCAGUUAAUACACCAUAACACGAAGAGAAAUUCGAGUAUAAGGACCAUGCAACGUUUCCUCCACAAUGAGCUGUUUUAUCAAUGGCCGCCAUUUAUAACAUAAAUCGCGCAAAACAUUCUCUUAAAUUGGCAAGAAAUGGUGGAAAUCUUCGCCGGUACUUAACCCAGAACACCUUUUCGGAUCCCUUUUCGAGGCAGAAAGAUUCGCAACGAUCCUGAUGAUGACUCUUCUUGCUCCAGAAUCUUGAUAAAGAAUUCUACUUUUCCUGGAAAAAAAGACAUCUCUAGAAUCUCGAGAUUCAAUUCGAUAUCGGAUCAAUUACCUUUGUGCUGCGUGAAU